rnacentral:lncRNA from 1 species
GCUUGGUUAAAGGAUAUAUAUGGCAGAGUAAAAAACAGCUUAUUAAGACAAAGAGAAGAUGCCCAAGAGAGGAGCAAUUAUAUGCCUGUACUGUACCACCUGACAAAACUGAACUCGAUGAAGGAGAUAGCUAGAAAAGGCAAGAAAAACAUAGCAUAUCAAAGAAACCCAACACUUUUCAAUGCCUUAAGGAAUGAUAAAGACCAGCUUAAACAAAAUAAAAAGAAAGGGAUUUAUAGUAUCCCCCUAAUAGACAAUAACGCCGAAGAGCAAUUAGCGUAUGUGGGAGAACAAUCAGAACAAUAGAGAGGAGACUAGAAGAGCACAAAAAAGACAUUCAAAAACUAACUUUGAUGCGGCCCUUGCGGGGGCGGCCUAUAGAAGAGAUAUUGCAGUGAAAUGGGAUGGAGUGAGGUGUGUUGGGCCAUUGA